rfam:Mesorhizobium sp. L48C026A00 scaffold0019, whole genome shotgun sequence.
CCGCGAAGACGACUUCGCGCUUUCCGAAAAGACCGGGACGACCCG